GGCCCGGACACGGAAAGGAUUGACAGAUUGAUAGCUCUUUCUCGAUUCUGUGGGAGGUGGUGCAUGGCCGUUCUUAGUUUGUGGAGCGAUUUGUCUGGUUAAUUCCGAUAACGAACCAGACUCCUCCAUGCUAACUAGUUACGUGACCCCCGGCAGUUAAGUUUUAAUGGUGUAUAAAUACGAGCUUGUGGACAUGCUUUAAUGGGAGGGUGCAAAUACAUGGGUCAGUUCUUUCUCUUUCUUGUUC
rnacentral:ncRNA from 1 species